rnacentral:rRNA from 1 species
UAACGGCCUACCAAGGCGAUUACGGGUAGCCGGCCUGAGAGGGCGACCGGCCACACUGGGACUGAGACACGGCCCAGACUCCUGCGGGAGGCAGCAGUGGGGAAUAUUGCGCAAUGGGCGAAAGCCUGACGCAGCGACGCCGCGUGGGGGAUGACGGCCUUCGGGUUGUAAACCUCUUUUACCACCAACGCAGGCUCGAAGUUCUCUUCGGGUUGACGGUAGGUGGGGAAUAAGGACCGGCUAACUACGUGCCAGCAGCCGCGGUAAUACGUAGGGUCCGAGCGUUGUCCGGAAUUAUUGGGCGUAAAGAGCUCGUAGGCGGCGUGUCGCGUCUGCUGUGAAAGACCGGGGCUUAACUCCGGUUCUGCAGUGGAUACGGGCAUGCUAGAGGUAGGUAGGGGAGACUGGAAUUCCUGGUGUAGCGGUGAAAUGCGCAGAUAUCAGGAGGAACACCGGUGGCGAAGGCGGGUCUCUGGGCCUUACCUGACGCUGAGGAGCGAAAGCAUGGGGAGCGAACAGGAUUAGAUACCCUGGUAGUCCAUGCCGUAAACGUUGGGCGCUAGGUGUGGGGACUUUCCACGGUUUCCGCGCCGUAGCUAACGCAUUAAGCGCCCCGCCUGGGGAGUACGGCCGCAAGGCUAAAACUCAAAGGAAUUGACGGGGGCCCGCACAAGCGGCGGAGCAUGUUGCUUAAUUCGACGCAACGCGAAGAACCUUACCAAGGUUUGACAUCACCCGUGGACUCGCAGAGAUGUGAGGUCAUUUAGUUGGCGGGUGACAGGUGGUGCAUGGCUGUCGUCAGCUCGUGUCGUGAGAUGUUGGGUUAAGUCCCGCAACGAGCGCAACCCUUGUUCCAUGUUGCCAGCACGUAAUGGUGGGGACUCAUGGGAGACUGCCGGGGUCAACUCGGAGGAAGGUGGGGAUGACGUCAAGUCAUCAUGCCCCUUAUGUCUUGGGCUGCAAACAUGCUACAAUGGCCGGUACAAUGGGCGUGCGAUACCGUAAGGUGGAGCGAAUCCCUAAAAGCCGGUCUCAGUUCGGAUUGGGGUCUGCAACUCGACCCCAUGAAGGUGGAGUCGCUAGUAAUC